UUCCUUAAGACAAUGGAUGAAUACAUAUCAAAAAAAAGAAAAAGAAUUCCCUCCCCGAAAAGAAGAUAAACGAAGUCCGAUUCUUAAAUGGUAAAAGGAUCAAAGGAAUACGUAUAUGGGGAAUGGCCGCUAGGGAGAAUCAAAGAGAGAAAAGAUAAUCCAACGAUGUUGAAAACAGACAAAACUUUCUCCCCGUUAGCUGUAUCGAUCGAAACUUGCUCGCAACGUCCUGCUGAGAUUACCGGGGAUGAUGAGCGUUAGGAUGUCAAUAACAGCAAGGGGAACUGAACGGCGCAUGCUCGACUGCGUUGCAUUUGGGUUGCGUCUGGGUGUCGAGGGUAGAAGCUUCUCGACGAGAAUUGGACCAGCAAGGGUUAUUACGAAUCGAGACACCAAUGUGACAAGUGCUAACAAGUUCCAAAAGUGGAAAGAUCUAGAAGGAACAUCUAAAAGGAAAGAUGGGUUUAUAAACGGAACUACGAAGCUGAGAAAUAUUAAAAAAUUUGAAAUUCACUUGUCGUUGAGAAUCGCCUGAUGUUCUACUUUUCAUGGUCUUGACGACUGUGUUAACGGUGUCUCGGAACGACACGAUCGUGCCGAUGGGAGAAACUAUUAAAAGUUUUCAUAACAAUUAAAACACGGAAUUAACACGGAGUAAAAACCUAACAUGAAGUAAAAUUAUCUGAUGGAGCACUAAAAAUAUCUUUCCUCGACUACCGUGAGCGUCCUUGAUUGAUCCACAUGGUAAAGAAUAAUAUUGUUUUAUUUUCAAUGAAAGCAAUUUUCAAGAAAAGAAAUGUAAGAAGUUAAUAUUUCGUUAAAUGUCUUGGGCGUAACGCGAUGACCGCGAUGCUCACAUUGUUUAAACACAUAUGUAAUAUAAGCAAGAACAAGCAUGGAUUCCUGGCAAUACCACGACACCAGGAUUGAAUACAAAUGAAUAUGCAAUUAUAUCUAAAAUAACUUCGAAAUCAUUAUGUUUUAUCGUGUAACAAGGCGAAUGUGUCUAUAUAAGUGAAUUUGUAUAUGUAUCUUUAUCUUGUAUUUCUAUUUAUCUCUAUACUCGUGGAUGUGUGAAUCAGAUUAAUUAACCCUAUAUAUAUAUAUAUAUAUAUAUAUAUAUAUAUAUAUAUAUAUGUUUUAAUGAUUACGAAUGUUUAAACGAAAAGUCUCUCUAUAUAUAGGAUGUAUAUAGGGUUAGUAGAUAUAUAUAUGUAUAUUAUAUGUAUGUAUGUGUGUAUGUAUGUACGUAUUAAUAUUGAUGUAUAACUAUAAGGUGCCUGUAUCCAUCUGUACACACGUAAAUAUCUAGAACAAAUUAUAAUUAACCCCUUGCAUUAGAUGCACACUCGGACUUUAGCUUUGAAUGAUUUACUUAUAUUUGAUUUAGACGAAUUUGUAAACGUUGAAGAACAUAUUCUUUUGCCAAAAAAAGUCAAUAUUUUAUUCCAUAUAAUAUUCUCGAUAAUACAAUAAGUUUUGAAGAAUUUUUUUACACCAUAUUCAUUGAUAUUGUUAUUUAUAAGAAUUCCUCCUUUUCUGAUCACUCUGAGGGGAUGUCCAUGUGCGAAGGGAUAAAGAAGGAUUAAAAAAUAAUUUAAAAUAAAAUGAAGAAAACAAAGGAAAAUAAGAAUUGAAAAAGAAGAAUAAAGGAUCAGGACUGUAAAGAAGAAAACAAAAAAGAUUAAAAAACAAAUCAAAAUCUAAAAAGAAGAUUAAAAUUUAAAAAAGGAAAAUAAAGUGAAAAAAGAAAAUAAUAAAAAGAGGAAAAUUAGGAAAAAAGAAUUGAAAUAAAGGAAAACAAAUGAAAGACAAAAAAAGAAAGACAAAAAAACAAAGACAAAAAAACACACGGACAGAUGCCUAUCGAGAAAUUGUGCCGGUAUAUUUCAUAUUUAUUCUGAGUGAUAUCUGUGUCUAAUCUCUGUGAGUCGAUGUGAUGGCGAUGUUACAAGUGUAAACUGAAGUUUUAGUCGAUAUUUGCUAAUUUUUCAAUUAUUCACAAUAUUUGAAUAUUUUUAAUCGGCUGCAGGAUUUGAUCUUGAUUUGAUUAGCUUGAUCAAAAAUCUUGAUUGAAAGUGCGGAUUAACAGGACAUUUCAAGUUAAUUCUCUAAUCACUUUGACGACACAAGAAUAUAGAUUCGAGUAAAUUUGUUAGAAGUUCGACUAAAAUUUCGAGUAAACUUUAUUAAAUCAUAUUUUGAAAUACACAUUACUAAAUUAAUAUUUAAUCAGAUAGAGUUGAUUACGUGUAAGAUAAUUUUUAUAUGAUAUAACAAUCAUGUUAGUAAUGUUAAUCAUUCGUUAAACGAGAUAACUUUAAUUACAUCAUUGUAAUAAAUAGAGUUAAUUUUCAUAAAAGAAUGAUAUUAAUUAUCGACUUUACUGAUUAGGAUAUUAAGUCAGGGAAAAGGGUUUUUUUUUAUUUUCUAUUUUGCAUUUUAAUACAAAAGCGGUUACGAUUUACGAUUGUUUAGAGUAGAGAUCAUAAUUAAUAGUUUGAACGGACGGCAACGGUUGAAUCUCCCCUUCCAUAGAUCACGAUCAGUUUCGCACACAAUUGUGCAUAGACGCUUUCAAGAAUGUUUCGGUUCCGUUCCGUUCCGCUCCGUUCCGUUCUGUUUUAAUAACGAUUCGCAAAUAAAAAUAAGAUCCAUUAAAUGUUUUAUUAAUUAAUCACACAACAUUGAAUUUUUAUUCUUCUUCAAUGAUUUAUAUCUGUUUUAUGAUGGACAGUUGGUUUCUUGACAACACUAUUUGAAUCACUUACAUGAUACCAUCCAUAUUGGAAACGUUUGAUACAACGUUGCUUUGUGCAACGUCCAUUGAUAACGGAUCGAUCGAUAAAUGUCAGAAAUUUCUUUAAGAGCCGGAGUAGCAUCAUUAUCUCUCAUGCAAUAAAAUAUCCAAAUGUAUCUUCUUCGUUCUCUUUCAUUUUCAAGGCGUAAUAUCUUUUGAACAAAUAAAUGAAUGUAUUUGUGACCUUGCUAGAAAUGCUCGAUGAAAACUCGCCUUUCGAUAAUCGCGCAGCACUAUUGCCAAAUUGAUUGUUUAAUAUUACCAAAAUUAUACCUGACGUCAUUAUUCAUUAGCUGGUAGAAUGCUAGGAAGCAUUUUUCCCCGAAUUAAUUCAAUUUGAAUCAGGAAUGUGACCCAUAGUGGUAGAAGAACUAGAUUUCAUCAAUUAUUGUCAGUUAUAAUUUUACGUAACUGGGAUAGUUGCUUUUGUACUGAUUUCUUCUGUUAAUUUUAUUAUUGUUCUUUUUCGUGACUAUUGUUUAUGUAUAUAAUUUAAGGUUAGAAACUAGUGCGGUUUAAUGUUAAUAUUGUCAUCUGCCGACGAGUUGAAAGAUAUGGAAGAUAAGUGUAAGUUCGGAGAAUCGCACUGUGGAAGAACCAAAGAACCGGACUUUCAACAAACAACACUUCUAUAUCUAUUAAAGUGGACAGUUCCUAACCGAAGAACAAAGUGAUGCUAUAGGCGAAGUGCAUGACGUACCGCGACAGAAGAAUAAAAAAAUUGUGAGGGUGUAAUAGAUGAAUAUCCAGAAAGUAGAGCGUCUUUUGUUGGAUCAAGUCUUUCUGUAAUUAUUGCUGCAAAUCUAAGCCUGCAAAAAUUACCGAUGUUGCCGAUGGUUUGACAAACUUCUGUUUUCAAAAAUGACGAAUCUAUCCUACGCAGGAUUUAUAUAUUACUCCGCAAUCCUUCUGGAAACACUGUCCUUGUUUCUAUUGAAAAUCAUUAAGAUCAACCAUUUGUAUGGCAAUGGCGUAAUAUAUAUUCGCAAUUGAAUUACUUCAGGAUUUACAAAGAAAAACGGCAAGAUUUGCCACAGCCAAAGGUACAUCGGCCGCUCGUGUAGAUGCUUCUCACGAAAAAAGAAUGGUAAUAUUGGGCAAUCAAGAACCAACGGAUCAGAUUUUCUUUCAUCAAACACUCCUGUAUGUAUUGAAGAAGACAUUUCCUGAUCGAAAAAGAAAGAGAAGCUAUACGCGAAGUGCAUGAUGUACCGUGACGGAAGAAUAAAAAAAUUGUGAGGCUGUCAUAGAUGAAUAUCCAGAAAGUAGAGCGUCUUUUGUUGGAUCAAGUCUUUCUGUAAUUAUUGCUGCAAAUCUAAGCCGGCAAAAAUUACCGAUGUUGCCGACGGUUUGACAAAUUUUAUUUUCCAAAAACGACGAGUCUACUCUAGGCAGGAUUUACAUGUCAUUCUAUAAUCCUUCUGGAAACACCGUCCGAUUUACGAAGAGAUACGACAAAACUUGUCACAAUCAAAGGUGCAUCAAUCGCUUGUGUAGAUGCCUCUCACAAGAGAAAGAAUGGUCAUUUUGGUCAAUCAAGGACCAAUGGGCCAAAUUUUCUUUCACCAAACACUCUCCUAUGUAUUACAGAAAACAGUUCUUGAUCGAAAAGAAAGAGAGUUUAUAUCCGAAGCGCGUGGCGUACCGGAAGAAUAAGAAAAAUUGUGAGGCUGCGACAGAUGAAUGUCCAGAAAGUAGGUUGUCUUUUGUAGGAGCAAGUCUUUCUGUAACAAUUGAAGCGCCUAAGCUUGCAAAAAUUAUCGGUGUUAACAAAGGACGCCGCACAUGGCUAUAUCAAAUGUUUUCAAUAUGGAAAGUGUGAUGUAGUGGUGCAAGUGACGUCGACAAGGAACCAAUCAUCGAUCACAAAACAGUUCUAUAUCAUUUGAAGAAGGUUGGAUGUAAAAAGAAAUCCAAUGUUUGUGUUCCACAUGAUCAAAUAGUGAAGCAUUUAAUGGAUCGUAUUUUUGUCUGCGAAUCGUUAUUAGGACCUAAUGAAACGGAUGCAUUCUUUAAACGAGUCAUUAUGUACGAUAACCUACGAAAAGGAUCAUGGUCCAUGGAAGGAGAAUCAACCGUUGUCGCCCGUUCGAACUAUUGAUCAUAAUCUCUCUAAAUAAUCGGGAAAUGAUUUGCUUUUGCAUUGAAAUACGAAGAAACCUUUUCUCCAAACUUAAUAUCUUGAUUAGUAAAGUCAUUGGUUGAUAUGAUUCCUUUAUGGAAAUUAACUCGAAUUAUUGCAACAAUAUAGUCAGAGAUGUUUGUCUUGCUUAAUGAGUGAAUGACAAUACUAAUAGGAUCAUUAUAUUAUCUAUAGAUUAUCAUACACGUAAUUAAUUAUAUUUAAUUAAACGUUAUAAUAAUAAUAAAUAUAUUUCAAUAUACGAUUUAAUAAAUUAUACUUGAAAUUUUAGUCAGAUUUUUAAUAAAUUUACUCGAAUCUAUAUUUCUGUAUCGCAAAACUGACUAGAGAAUUAAUCUGAUGUUUCGGGUUAAUUCUCGCUUUUAAUCAAGAUUUUUAAGUUGACGAAAUUAAGAUCAAGUUCUGUGGCAGAUUAAAAAUAAUCAAAUGUCGUAAGUAAUUGAAGGAAUAGCCAUAUAUAGACUAAAAUUUCAGUUUACACUUAUAACACCGACAUCGCGUAGAUUUACGCGCAUUACACACAGGUUUCAUUCUGGAUAAAUAUGAGGUAUAUCGAUACAAUUUCCCGAUACGUAUUUAUUUGUAUGUUUUUUUUUCUUUCUUUCUUUAUAUUAUUAUUUUUUCCCCUUUAAUUUCUUUCUUUUAAUCUUUUUUUAUCUUCCUUUUUGCUGAUUUUAAUUUUGUAUAAUUUUCCUUUCCCCUUUUAGAUUUUUAUCUUUCCUUCGAUUCUAAUUUUUUUUUUUCGUCUUUUUUGUUUCCUCCCUUUUAGUAUUGAUUUCUUCUUCAAUUCUAUCAUCCUAUAUGUAGAGAGUAUCUUCGUUUAAACAUUCGUAAACAUUAAAAAAAUAUAGAAUCAACCUUACCAUAUAUAUAUAUAUAUAUAUAUAUAUAUAUAUAUAUAUAUAUAUAUAUAUGUAUGUAUGUAUUGCGUUGUUAAAUGAUAAAACAUAAUGAUUUGGACGUAAUUUUAGGUAUAAUUGCGUAUUUACUUGUACUUAAUCUUGGUGCUGUCUGAGGAGAAUAAAGAAAAUUACAUUGAUGUACGCGUGUAUAAGAAAAUAUAUUAUGUAAAUUUAUCCCUAAGCUAAUUGUAAAUAAAACGUAAUGGACUUAAAUGUAAUGGACGUAAAGAUGAGUUUUAGCCCAUAAUAUUGUUUCACGAUUGAUCGAAUGAAAUAAACUUUUCUGACUACCCUAA